AUUGAACGCUGGCGGCAGGCCUAACACAUGCACGUCGAACGAGUGGCGGACGGGUGAGUAAUGUCUGGGAAACUGCCCGAUGGAGGGGGAUAACUACUGGAAACGGUAGCUAAUACCGCAUACCAUUGGAUCUGCCCAUAUGGGAUUAGCUAGGUGGUGGGGUAAAGGCUCACCUAGGCGACGAUCCCUAGCUGGUUUGAGAGGAGGACCAGCCACACUGGAACUGAGACACGGUCCAGACUCCUACGGGAGGCAGCAGUGGGGAAGAGUGCACAAUGGGCGCAAGCCUGAUGCAGCCAUGCCGUGUGUGUGAAGAAGGCCUUCGGGUUGUAAAGCACUUUCAGCGGGGAGGCGUUACCCGCAGAAGAAGCACCGGCUAACUCCGUGCCAGCAGCCGCGGUAAUAC
rnacentral:rRNA from 1 species